GCUGGGUGUGUUGGCAUGCGCCUGUAGUCCCAGCUACUUGGGAGGCUGAGUGGGGAGGAUGGCUUGCACCCAGGAAGUCAAGACUGCAGUGAGCUGAGAUCACACCACUGCACUCUAGCCUGGGUGACAAAGCGAGACCUUGUUUCAA
rnacentral:SRP_RNA from 2 species